rnacentral:rRNA from 1 species
UACGAAGGGGGCUAGCGUUGCUCGGCAUCACUGGGCGUAAAGCGCACGUAGGCGGAUCUUUAAGUCAGGGGUGAAAUCCUGGAGCUCAACUCCAGAACUGCCUUUGAUACUGGGGAUCUCGAGUCCGGGAGAGGUGAGUGGAACUGCGAGUGUAGAGGUGAAAUUCGUAGAUAUUCGCAAGAACACCAGUGGCGAAGGCGGCUCACUGGCCCGGUACUGACGCUGAGGUGCGAAAGCGUGGGGAGCAAACAGG